UACAGAGAGUGCGAACGUUGUUCGGAAUUACUGGGCUUAAAGCGCACGUAGGCGGCAUCGUAAGUGUCUGGUGAAAUCCCACGGCUCACCCGUGGAACUGCCAGGCAUACUGUGAUGCUCGAGUGUGGUAGGGGAGAGCGGAACUCCUGGUGGAGCGGUGAAAUGCGUAGAUAUCAGGAGGAACACCGGUGGCGAAGGCGGCUCUCUGGUCCACAACUGACGCUGGGGUGCGAAAGCUAGGGGAGCAAACGGG
rnacentral:rRNA from 1 species